AUCGUUCCUUUCUUGCUUCUCCUCUCGUCGCCGAUCAUUUCUCCUGUUAAACCCUCGCUCUGCAGAUCUCGUCUCUUCCAUGAACUGAUCGAUCGCAAUGGCAGAGAUGUCGAGUCUCCUCUAGAUCUUUGCGGAGGGGGACGGCGGCGCCUCUCCGAGGGAUCUCUCCCAGAGGUUCCGCUCCGGCUCCGUCAGGCCCGGUCUCGAGCGCCUCCUCGCCGUCCUAGAUGCUGGAAUCUAAGACCCCGACGACGGUAUAUUUGGGUUCUAGGGCUGGACGCGCGAGCAGAUCGAGGCCGUGCUCCCGGCCGCGCGCAUCGUCGUCGCCGCGCUCCGUUGAGCAGGUGGGAUUGGUCGCGUCGGCCAUCGUGGCGAGGUCGAUGGAGCUUGGUAUCAGUUUCUCGGUGCGAUCGAUGUUUGAUGGCGACGAUUUGAUCUCGGAGGUCCACAAGUAAUUGAUGGAUUGAUUCAAGUUCUCUGGGCAAUUCUGUACUGGGAACGACCAGAAACACAGACAAUUAACAGCAUUAUAAUGCUUACAGUGGAACUUAUUUAUGGCUAUGCUGAAUGCUACCUGGCUUUGCAUGGAAAUCAAACUGGGUCUGUUGCACCUGCUGUUGCAUUACUUAAGAAAUUUCGUUGACCUUAUGAAGCUGUCCAGACAUCCAUUGGCUAUAUCAUCUUGGUUGCUUCAAGUCCCCUUUCCAAAGCAGACAAUUAUAUCUUCUGAUGGUCCUGCAGAAAGUCAUGCAACAACACAGGCUCCUUCUGAUGUAAAUAAAGGCUGUUCAACAGUUGGCAUUGUAAUAUUUGUCCACAUUUUGAUUUGUGUGAAGCAUGUUAUGAAGUUCUUGAUGCUGGUCAGCUCCCUUCACUGCAUUCAAUAGAUCACCCAGUGUCAGCUAUUCCAAUUGAUAAUGAUUCAAUUUCUGGUGAUGGUAAUGAGAUACGUUUUUGUAUGGAUGAGUUGAGUGAUGCAAGUUAACACCAAUUCCUACUGAGAUAAGCGUGCAAAAACCAUCAUCUUCAUGUCUUCCACACAAAUGAAAGUGAAGAUUUUACUGAUCUUAAUGGCUGGAUGGAAACAACAUCUGGUUUUCGAGCUAUUCCUGUUAUGCAGCUUUUCUAUAGAUUAUCAUCGGCAAUUGGUGGGCAUUUUAUGGGUAGCUCCAAAUCUGAAAGUUUGGACUUGAAAAAAUUUGUCAGAUGGUUACUCGAGGAGAUCAAUCUCAAUAAACCUUUCCAGCUAAAGCACGAUUAGGAUUUGGUGAGGUUGUCAUUCUUGUCUUCAUCUUCUUCACUUUAAUGCUUCGGGGUCCACCCAUCACCGUAUAAAUCAUUUUAACCGCCAUGGGUAAAUCACUUGUAAGACUCUGCAUUGGAUUUCAAACUCUUCCUUGGCAGUGCAAGUCAUACUAUCGUAGAGGAAAUAUGUUGAACUUUCGUGAAACUGUGUUGGUAUAGAAUGUUCCUACAGGUUAUGGUUGGAUCUAAAUCGAUAUAUCUGAUUUUGAGCCUAAACGGCUAUACUGAAUCUGAUUCCUCCAGGUCAGCACAAUGGAUGAUUAUUCUCAUUUUUCAGAUGAGUUAGUGGUCCACAACAUCCAUAAUUCUUCCAGAUGGAAUGAAGCGUGAUGAGUCUUGCACAAAUUGACCCAUAGGAGGGCCCAAAGGAGAUCCGACCACGAUCUGCUGGUGGUUGGCUCUGGACCACCAUGACCAGCAUUUGCCUACAAAAACACCCCUUAACCUGUUUACUGAUACCUUUUUCUGUCCUUCCUUUGGUUAAGGAACAAGAAAUAGGUUUGUUGUUAAUUGACUUGGGCCAUCACUUGUUUGUGUUUGUUCAGUUAUUCCUGCUCUUACAAUUGGAUUUUGAAUUUUAAUUAUAUAGAUUUUACAAUUUGAUAUCAAGUUUGCGUUUAGUUAUUGUGCCAAAUGAUAAAAUAAUAAUAUUCGACUCACUUUUGUAGCCCUUGAGAGAUGAUAGAGCAAUACCAAGUCCAUGGAACCCAAAAGAAGAUAAAGAAGAUAUUCCAGUGUGUACCAGAGUAUGCUGAGAUGGAUAUGCUUGCAGAUACAUCAACUCUGCAAGAAGCCCUUCUCCGCCGAAGUCUAGUUGCGGAUUCACAGCUGCAAGCUUCAUGGAGAGAAACUUGACAAAAGAAACAAGAACAAAGUUCAGUGUAUCACCCAAAAGAACAAAGUUCAUGUGAUUGAAAAUACGAUAGGAUCGUUACAGUUUCAUGACAGAUUUUGAAACAAAGAAUCCAGUUUUCAUGAUUGUCAAUUCAAGAUUCUUCAACCUACCUUAUUGCAACCUGGUGAAGGAAAAGAGUGUCAUGGUAAAGCUUCCAAAAGAUUCAUCAGAAUAACUAGAGCCUUACUCUUUCUGCAAGGCUGUGACUGUUAGUGGCUUGUCCACGCCGUGCUCGAAUAUGAACAUAGUCCUCCUUUGCUACUUCUGAGUUGUCUUUCCCAUUCUUUCCACUUUGUUUGGAACUGAUCUCUACUUUUUGCUCAUUCUGUAUGUUCUCCGUUGUUGUCUGUGACAAAAAUUGUAGGCUUCCUUGCACCUGAUCCUUGUCGAUAUCCUUAAAAAGCAAUCAGAAACUUUGAGAGUCAGGGGCCACCACUGAUCAAUUGCUAACAGCAGAAAACAACAGAAGCAAAGGAUUAGCAUAGCAAUGAUAGUGUGACUAAUAUACCAGAGCGGUUUUUCUCCUUUUAUUUUCUCCAAGAUCACUAGAAGAUGAAUCUAAAGCAACAUCGGUUGAACCAGUAUUUCCUUCUGGGCCAUCUUCAGGAAAAUUCACAUGUGAUUCUCCAUUUGAAACACUGAUCUGAGAGUUUCCGUCUCCUUGUUUCUUCAUUGAGCUUCCAUUAAAAGAUUCAUGAUCAACAGGCAGCAAGACAGCUUUGUUUUCACUCAAAUCAUCUUUCUGAAUCUGAGCCCCGAAGCCCUCGUUGUUCGAUGAAGCCAUUGCUGGAGACGAGCCAAAGAAGUUGAUGCCCGUAAAAUUACCAGUGCCAAAGCAUGAGAACCUGGCUGCCCUCUCAAUGAAAGUCGAAUCAACAGGGAAGUGAGGUAAUUUUGGUGCAGUCGACAAUAGCAUCUCUCUCGGUGACACUGCUACUGGUUUUCCGACCGGUAUGCUGUUGACGGUAGCUGAGCUUUCUCCGAGGCCCAAGUUCAGUGUACUAGUAGUAGUAGAGUGGUUCCAAUGACCAGGACUGAAGCCCUCCCCAAUUGAAGCAGAAAGAUAAGGCGAUUGACUCAUCUGACUCAUUGCAGCGGUGUUGAAUUGCCAUUCACAGCCAUUUCCAUGGCUAUUCAACACAAACUUGUUCUCCUUCAUUUCGGAGAAAGAUCAAGACUCAACCUUCAAGAACAAUUAACACAAAGGAGAAAAAGAGAAAAAAAAAAUA